rnacentral:rRNA from 1 species
AUGAACGCUGGCGGCGUGCCUAAUACAUGCAAGUCGCGCGAACAGACGAGGAGCUUGCUCCUCUGACGUUAGCGGCGGACGGGUGAGUAACACGUGGAUAACCUACCUAUAAGACUGGGAUAACUUCGGGAAACCGGAGCUAAUACCGGAUAAUAUAUUGAACCGCAUGGUUCAAUAGUGAAAGACGGUUUUGCUGUCACUUAUGGAUGGAUCCGCGCCGCAUUAGCUAGUUGGUAAGGUAACGGCUUACCAAGGCAACGAUGCGUAGCCGACCUGAGAGGGUGAUCGGCCACACUGGAACUGAGACACGGUCCAGACUCCUACGGGAGGCAGCAGUAGGGAAUCUUCCGCAAAGGGCGAAAGCCUGACGGAGCAACGCCGCGUGAGUGAUGAAGGUCUUCGGAUCGUAAAACUCUGUUAUUAGGGAAGAACAAAUGUGUAAGUAACUAUGCACGUCUUGACGGUACCUAAUCAGAAAGCCACGGCUAACUACGUG